UACGUAGGGUGCGAGCGUUGUCCGGAAUUACUGGGCGUAAAGAGCUUGUAGGUGGUUCGUCGCGUCGGCUGUGAAAACCCGGAGCUCAACUCCGGGCCUGCAGUCGAUACGGGCAGGCUAGAGUUCGGUAGGGGAGACUGGAAUUCCUGGUGUAGCGGUGAAAUGCGCAGAUAUCAGGAGGAACACCGGUGCGAAGGCGGGUCUCUGGGCCGAUACUGACGCUGAGGAGCGAAAGCUGGGUAGCGAACAGG
rnacentral:rRNA from 1 species